ACAUGCAGCUGUACAAAUAUCUAAAACACCUGUCCUGGUCCGAUCACCGGAGUUAAGCAAUGUUUAGCCCGGUCAGUACUUGCAUGGGUGACCGAACGCGAAUACCGGGUGAACUCCGUUUG
rfam:Schistosoma rodhaini strain Burundi genome assembly, scaffold: SROB_contig0000964